rnacentral:misc_RNA from 1 species
GAAAUGCGAUAAGUAGUGUGAAUUGCAGAAUUCAGUGAAUCAUCGAAUCUUUGAACGCACAUUGCGCCCCUUGGUAUUCCAUGGGGCAUGCCUGUUCGAGCGUCAUUUGUACCCUCAAGCUCUGCUUGGUGUUGGGUGUUUGUCCCGUCUCCGCGCGUGGACUCGCCCCAAAGUGAUUGGCAGCCGGCGUACUGGUCCCGGAGCGCAGCACAUGUCGCGCAAACGAGUGCCUUGGUACGGCGGCGUCCAUAAGCCCCUCUCUCACGCUCUUGACCUCGAAUCAGGUAGGAAUACCCGCUGAACUUAAGC